GACGAGCCACCCAAACGUUAUUCGGAAUUACUGGGCGUAAAGGGCUCGUAGGCGGCCAACUAAGUCGGACGUGAAAUCCCCAGGCUCAACCUGGGAACUGCGUCUGAUACUGGAUGGCUUGAAUUCGGGAGAGGGAUGCAGAAUUCCAGGUGUAGCGGUGAAAUGCGUAGAUAUCUGGAGGAAUACCGGUGGCGAAGGCGGCAUCCUGGACCGACAUUGACGCUGAGGAGCGAAAGCCAGGGGAGCAAACGGGAUUAGAAACCCGCGUAGUCC
rnacentral:rRNA from 1 species